CGGGGGAGCAAGUCGUUGUUCGGAUUUACUGGGCGUAAAGGGCGCGUAGGCGGUAGCACAAGUCAGUUGUGAAAUCUCCGGGCUUAACUCGGAAAGGUCAACUGAUACUGUGCGACUAGAGUGCAGAAGGGGCAACUGGGAUUCUCGGUGUAGCGGUGAAAUGCGUAGAUAUCGAGAGGAACACCUGCGGCGAAGGCGGGUUGCUGGGCUGACACUGACGCUGAUGCGCGAAAGCCAGGGGAGCGAACGGGAUUAGAUACCCCGGUAGUCCUGGCCUUAAACGAUGGAUGCUUGGUGUCUGGAGUUUUAUAGUCUCCGGGUGCCGCAGCUAACGCGUUAAGCAUCCCGCCUGGGGAGUACGGUCGCAAGACUG
rnacentral:rRNA from 1 species